AUGAGCAACCAUUCGUAACGAACGUACUUGCCACAAAGCAUAAUUUCCAUGACACCAAGCUGAUUCACAGGCAGUUUUCUUUCUGCACAACAACACGGCUGAAGGACGGCUUGGUGGAGGCAGACUCCGUUUCCUAAGGGCUUAUCCCAAGUUAGAGUUCAGAGGGAAGGGAAUAGAACGCGACUUGUCCACCAAACAAAAUAUGCGUGUUACUACAGUUGUAUGUAGUGGUCAGGCAAAAAGAAAAUCAGAACUUCCAAAGCUGGAGUGUCAGGUGGUUGUGAACUACUCAACCUGGUUCCUGGGAACCAAACUCAGGUCCUCCGCCAAAGGAGCACAUGCACUUAGCCACUGAGUCAUCUCUGAAGUCCCAGAAACCUCUGAAUGCCCAGGUGACAAGACCAAGGCUGAGAGACUAGGAAAGGGCUAAGAAUCUGAGUCACUGGCUGAGCAAACUACAGGUCAAUGGUGGACCUUCUCAAAAGCAAUACAUAAAUGAUCGAGGAACAAAAGCAUCACAUCAUCAACUUUUGCCCUCCACAACUGCCUACAGAGAAUUGGAGAAUUUCUAUUUACCCAGAAGUAAAUAUUAUGAAGAAAACAUUGGGCUGCUCAAAAGUAGACCUAGGAAAAUGCAGAUGUAGUUUUUGUUAGAAUCAAUUGCACAAUGGACUCUGCAUACUAAUAAGUUGAGAUUUCUUUGAAAUACAGUAUAGAGAUUAAGUUCUUCACAACUCCUCACCUGCCUAGUUGAUCAGCCCAGCCAUUCUUUCCAUUUAUCUUCUGCAAUCAAGAGAAACUCUUCUGGACAAAAAGAUGUCCUCUGCAGAUGGCACCAGUCAAAAGAACCCAGUAAACACCAAACCUUGGUCUGCAGGUAAGGGGCCACUGUCAAUGGCCUGAUUACUCUGAUUGGUAGCCAAUGGUCAUCAAACCCUUGGUUUGGCUCUCUCCUCUGGGCGAGACAUUCUUGCCUACCACAGACUGCUUUAUUACAUCACCAUGAUCGAAUCACCAUGCUUCAGGAUAAUGUCGAUAGAACAAAGUCAGUGCCUCCUUCUGCUGCUAAGUUAAGAAUCCCCUUGGCCAUCAAGUAUGCUUCCCCAAACUAUUUCCAAAGACGUUUGAAAAUAUGGAGAAAGUUUCAGAAAGCUCCAUCAUUACUAUGAGCCUCAGUCCCCAAUCUCUGUCUUAAGAUGCUGCUUGGAUGUUGUUGGAUCCUGCACUGGAAUGUACUAGAAGGUUGGUCCUCAGUAGGGUCAUAGCAGAACUCAUGGGACACUUGGAAAUAGGAGUCUAAUGGGAGGGGCUGGGAUCACAGGGAGUGCUUUUCUCCAUUCUUUCUUUACUCUCAUGAUUGGUGAUGACCAUUUGUCCCCACACAUGUUCCUGUCAUUGCCACCUGCAUGGGAUCUUCCCCAAAACUGGGCCAGUCUGGCCAUCAGUCUCUGAAUGCUCAGAAUCACGAACUAAGUAGACUUCCUUGUUAUACAUAGUUAACCUGCCAUGGGUACUCUAUUGAAGCAAUGAAAAGCAGAUCAAUAUAGGAUAUAAGACCUUCUUUCUGCUUCUUAGCUUUCAAUUGAUUAUUUUGUGGCCUCUGAUCCGUGGACUCCCUUCUUCUACCCACAUCUGAUUAUCCAAACAGGAGUAGCACUGCUCACAGGACUCUAUGUUCAGUCUCUCCCCUUUGACUUUGUUUCAAUUACAUCUCCUGCCUUCACUUAGCAGAAGCUUUAAUAAAUUUGGGGAGGAAGGUAGUAGGCGAGUUUAGAGCAACACCCGUGUCAACAUCUACUCUACAUUCUUAAUAGCUCAAGCAACCUCCCAGCCUCCAUGAAUGUCAACUCUUCCUCUGUAAUAGCAUAAUAUCUAGACCAUAGGAUGGGUAUGAAGAAUAUACAGUUACUGGUGAUGCAUGAUCUCAGAGUGUAACCCUCAAUCGAGGACUGUUAGUUACCAUUGUAAUGAUCAAUGUUCUGUCUUCUUUGAGCUUCUUCCUGCUUUGAUGCCUUCUUUCUAGUGGUAAAAAUUAACU
rnacentral:lncRNA from 1 species